rnacentral:tRNA from 1 species
CGGGGCGUAGCGCAGUCUGGUAGCGCACUUGACUGGGGGUCAAGGGGUCGGAGGUUCGAAUCCUCUCGCCCCGACGA